rnacentral:rRNA from 1 species
AUUGAACGCUGGCGGCAGGCCUAACACAUGCAAGUCGAGCGGAACGUCGGACGGGUGCGUAAUGGCUAGGAAUCUGCCUGGUAGUGGGGGAUAACGUCCGGUACCGGGCGCUAAUACCGCAUCCUAUCAGCUGAGCCUAGGGCGGAUUAGCUAGUUGGUGGGGUAAAGGCCUACCAAGGCGACGAUCCGUAACUGGUCUGAGAGGAUGAUCAGUCACACUGGAACGGAGACACGGCCCAGACUCCUACGGGAGGCAGCAGUGGGGAAUAUUGGACAAUGGGCGAAAGCCUGAUCCAGCCAUGCCGCGUGUGUGAAGAAGGUCUUCGGAUUGUAAAGCACUUUAAGUUGGGAGGCGUUACCAACAGAAGAAGCACCGGCUAACUUCGUGCCAGCAGCCGCGGUAAUAC